ensembl:processed_transcript RIKEN cDNA 9130230N09 gene
UUUGGGGACCCGAAGAUAACAGUGCCAGCGGAUGGGGGUGAAAAGCGGCAGCCAGCGGCUCACAAACACCUGAUCUGCCCCUGCGGCACCCUAGACCAGCGCAGUGCGCGGGCGGGGCAGAACACCGCCCGCGACGCUCCCCCGCCGCCCAGGCCCGCACCUCGUGCGCGGGGUACAGCGCGGCUCAGGGUGUCGCUGCCCUCUCCCUGUGGGUGCAGGAAGAGCGGAGGUCGAGCAGAAGGCUGUCAGAUGGAGUUAGUCAAAGGGAUGCCAUUGACUUUCGAGCGCUGGAGAUUGAAUUUCAGCCAGCUCGACCAAGACCACGAAGUCUUACUUACAGCCACAGAAAGAAGUAAGUGCGAGUUGUUUGGGUUGAGCGCAGAGCCACGUGUGUACGGUCAUCCACAAGAAGGAAUUCUGAGUCAGUGGUUCUGGAAAUGUUAAGAUUGGCAAUCUGCAGACCGAUCUGUUCUUAUGUUUGUCACAACGUUCCCAAACAACAACAACAACAACAACAACUUGGAAUAUUAUAUGUUCACAUAAACUGUUAACCACUGUCACUCUGAACAAGAAAGGAAGAGAAAUUGUAUGCUUUUCUUGACUCUGAGGAAUUUUUUCCCACGAUUAUAUUUAUAAUUCAGAAAGCCAAUAAAAGAAGCAAAUUAGAAGUUA